UGUGAACAGGGCACCCAGGAGUUUUC
rnacentral:piRNA from 1 species